rnacentral:rRNA from 1 species
CCCUUAGAUGUUCUGGGCCGCACACGCGCUACACUGAAGGAGGCAGCGUGUACUCCUGGAUCGAAAGAUUUGGGUAACCCGCGAAUCUCCUUCGUGCUAGGGAUUGAGGUUUGCAAUUAUCCUUCAUGAACGAGGAAUUCCCAGUAAGUGCAAGUCAUAAGCUUGCGCUGACUACGUCCCUGCCCUUUGUACACACCGCCCGUCGCUACUACCGAUUGAAUGAUUUAGUGAGGACUUCGGACUGGGACCGAUGCGGCUUUCGGGCUGCGUCGGUAUUCUGGAAAGAUGUCCAAACUGUNCNAUUUAGNGGAAGUAAAANUCGUANCA